GACUACAUGAAGCUGGAAUCGCUAGUAAUCGUAGAUCAGCAUGCUACGGUGAAUACGUUCCCGGGUCUUGUACACACCGCCCGUCACACCACGAGAGUUUGUAACACCCGAAGCCGGUGGAGUAACCAUUUUGGAGCUAGCCGUCGAAGGUGGGACAAAUGAUUGGGGUGAAGUCGUAACAAGGUAGCCGUAUCGGAAGGUGCGGCUGGAUCACCUCCUUUCUAAGGA
rnacentral:rRNA from 1 species